rnacentral:siRNA from 1 species
AUCAAAGCACAUGCAACUAAUGUG